rnacentral:tRNA from 1 species
GCCGGGGUGGCGGAAUGGCAGACGCGUAGGUCUCAAAAACCUAUGAAGCUUGCUUCAUGUGGGUUCGACUCCCACCCCCGGCACCA